GAGUUUAUUCUUUUUAAACAAAUUCUGUGAAUAAUCCGAAUUAUUGGUUCUGCACGCAUUUUUCUUCCUUUCGCUUUUAAAUUCGCGGUAUUUGUAAAGCGCUGCGAUCUCGCCAUCUGGUAACUAAACGCAAUCGAUUAAAUAGUGGAAUCGACAUUGUUGACUGUUGAUAAUUACGAUAGCAAGAAUUGUAUUCAACAUCGAACGAUACGAUAACGUGGAGAUGGCACAGGUGUUGAUGAGGUUAGGCCUCGUGCUGAACUACGUGUGCGCCUCCUCC